rnacentral:lncRNA from 1 species
UUUUUAAAUCAAUUUUAGAACGAGGUUGUAAUGUAACAAAAUGUGGAAAAUGUCAAGUGGUCUGUAACGUAGACACGGAGUCAGGAAGCAGGUGCAGUUAGUGAUAACAAACAUGGCGUGAAACAAAACAAGAGAAGCGUUUGACAUAGAAGCAUAAACAAUACCACCUGAUGACUGAUGGAACAGAGUGCUACGUAACGGGCAGAACAGCAGGUAGAGAGGACUGGGGAACACAGCAGGUAGAGAGGACUGGGGAACACAGCGGGCAGAGAGGACUGGGGAACACAGCAGGUAGAGAGGACUGGAGAACACAGCAGGUAGAGAGGACUGGGGAACACAGCAGGUAGAGAGGACUGGGGAACACAGCAGGUAGAGAGGACUGGGGAACACAGCAUGUAGAGAGGACUGGGGAACACAGCAGGUAGAGAGGACUGGGGAACACAGCAGGUAGAGAGGACUGGAGAACACAGCAUGUAGAGAGGACUGGGGAACACAGCAGGUAGAGAGGACUGGAGAACACAGCAGGUAGAGAGGACUGGGGAACACAGCAGGUAGAGAGGACUGGGGAACACAGCAGGUAGAGAGGACUGGGGAACACAGCAGGUAGAGAGGACUGGGGAACACAGCAGGUAGAGUGGACUGGGGAACACAGCAGGUAGAGAGGACUGGGGAACACAG